rnacentral:pre_miRNA from 1 species
AAACCCAAAAAAGCUACGGACAGGGUCCUUUAGUCCAUCGCUUUUUUGGGUUUUU